UACGUAGGGUGGCAAGCGUUAUCCGGAAUUAUUGGGCGUAAAGAGCUCGUAGGCGGUUUGUCGCGUCUGCUGUGAAAACUGGAGGCUCAACCUCCAGCCUGCAGUGGGUACGGGCAAACUAGAGUGCGGUAGGGGAGAUUGGAAUUCCUGGUGUAGCGGUGGAAUGCGCAGAUAUCAGGAGGAACACCGAUGGCGAAGGCAGAUCUCUGGGCCGUAACUGACGCUGAGGAGCGAAAGCAUGGGGAGCGAACAGG
rnacentral:rRNA from 1 species